rnacentral:rRNA from 1 species
UGGGGAAUAUUGCACAAUGGGCGCAAGCCUGAUGCAGCCAUGCCGCGUGUAUGAAGAAGGCCUUCGGGUUGUAAAGUACUUUCAGUCGGGAGGAAGGUGGUAAGGUUAAUAACCUUGGCAAUUGACGUUACCGACAGAAGAAGCACCGGCUAACUCCGUGCCCGCAGCCGCGGUAAUACGGAGGGUGCAAGCGUUAAUCGGAAUUACUGGGCGUAAAGCGCACGCAGGCGGUUGAUUGAGUCAGAUGUGAAAUCCCCGGGCUCAACCUGGGAACUGCAUCUGAUACUGGCAAGCUUGAGUGUCGUAGAGGGGGGUAGAAUUCCAGGUGUAGCGGUGAAAUGCGUAGAGAUCUGGAGGAAUACCGGUGGAGAAGGCGGCCCCCUGGACAAAGACUGACGCUCAGGUGCGAAAGCGUGGGGAGCAAACAGG